CCUACGGGUGGCAGCAGUGGGGAAUAUUGCACAAUGGCGGAAACGCUGAUGCAGCAACGCCGCGUGAGUGAAGAAGUAUUUCGGUAUGUAAAGCUCUAUCAGCAGGGAAGAAGAUGACGGCACCUGAGUAAGAAGCAGCGGCUAACUACGGGCCAGCAGCCGCGGGAAUACGGCGGGGGCAAGCGUUAUCCGGAUUUACUGGGUGUAAAGGGAGCGCAGACGGGAGUGGAAGUCUGGAGUGAAAGCCCGGGGCCCAACCCCGGAACUGCUCUGGAAACUGUGCGGCUAGAGUACUGGAGGGGCAUGCGGAAUGCCUAGUGUAGCGGUGAAAUGCGUAGAUAUUAGGAGGAACACCAGUGGCGAAGGCGGCCUACUGGACAGUAACUGACGUUGAGGCUCGAAAGCGUGGGGAGCAAACAGGAUUAGAUACCCCAGUAGUC
rnacentral:rRNA from 1 species